AUUCUCUCUCUCCCUCUGCCCCUCCCCCACUCCCUCUCUCUCGAAAGAAAGAAAGAAACCAGAAAAGCAAGGAUUCCCACCACCACUCCACUAGCCUGACAGAUAUGUAAUGAAAAGAGUAUUAUCAUUUUAUAUUGCUCCAGAGUGUGGAAAUCAUAUCAAAAACACGAUUUUAGGUUAUUUAAUUGCCCUAGAUUUUGAAAAUAAUACCAUGCUGGUGGUAAGAAAAAGAGUACAGAAGAGGAUAAUGUGGGAAAUGAAGGAACACCCCCUUGGUGAUUUAUCUUUAAUUUUGCUUUCUAAACAGUAACCGCUGGAUGCAGUUUGCAUAAUCUCCAUACAUUUUCAAAGCCUGUUCAAGUGCAUUCACUUUUUUUGCUCAUAACAUUAAGCAAGCUGGGGGCGUUCCAAUAUAUCCUGAAGACGUGACAGCCCGCAGACCCACCUCAUUCUUUCUAAUGCCUUCUAGCAUUGCACCAUACUUAACCUGUCCCCUACCAGCCGGCAUUUCAGUUAACGCCAGGAUUUUGCCAUUAUAACAUAUACUCUCUUUGGCAUGUGUCCAAGUAUACUCACAGGAUACGUUCCUAGAAGCAGAAUGUCUCAGGCCAGAGGAUACGUGCAUUUUUUAUUUCUACAGCUACUGCCCAAUGCCCAUCAAGAGCGCAUGGGUGGGGGAGCCCGUUUCCACGGCCUCGCCCACCCCAGCAAGGAUGCAGUGUGUCAGGGGAAAAAAGUCCCAAAUGAGUUGCAGAUGAACCUGCCAGUAAUUUUAGUGAACGAGGCGUGGAGCACAUAAAGGCCAGAAGAUGGAAAACACUGCAGGUUUGAUAAAAGGAGUUCUGCUCGGCUCGGAAUCCUCCCUCCUGCUAGUCCUGCUGAGAUCUAUCUGGAGAGGGUCUGACGGAUUGAGGAAAAAGAAAUGAGACCAACGUUGAGUCUCCUUUCAAGGGCUGUGCAAAUAUAAAACCAAACAACUUGAAAUUGUUCCAAGAGGGGAUUAAAGCAACAUGUUAUUUGGAGUGAUUGCUUAAUUUAUUGAGCUGCGGCUAGAUCUGUAACAAAAUACAGCCCUCGCAACUGAUAACCUCCUGCUGCAAUUGAACUUCUACAAUUAAGGAACAUUUUCCAAGAGUUUCUCUGGAACGGCUUCGAAUUUUUAGUCUCCGUGGUGGGGUGCUUCUGAGCACUCCAUUUCUGGGCAAGUUUUUGUGUUGUUGUUUUUGUUUUUUCAAGAGUGACGGGCCGAUGUUAAUAAGGAAAGGAAGCAGCCUUUCAUUGAAUGCCUUGUCUUCACCAUGUGCUUAAUAUACAUUAUCUCUAAUCCUGA